UCCAAGAUCAUAGUUUUACAAUAUUACAGAAUAAAAUAAAAAUUCUCAGAGUCAGCUGGCUAAGAUGAACAGGGACAACGUUUUUAAAACUAAGAUGUGUGUAGGGCAUGUUACCAGUUUACAUUUGUGCCAUCCAAAAUUUUAAAAACCACCACCUAAUAAUGUUCUUUAGCUUGGCUGCAGCACUCAAAGGAGAAUGAAACACAGGCCAGCUGCUUCCUGAGACCCUGGAGUUAUCUCUGUUUGGAAGACACUUAAUUGAGUAUGACUGCCUUUUCAAAGACCCCUUAGGAUUGAAGAUCAAGGUGCUGUAGAAAUGAUCAGGGGGAAAGAGAAUGUUUCCUAUGGGAGUCAAUGCUAUUUCAACACUAUUUUUAUGAGUUUCCAUAAGGGGGUGAUUACGAUAUAGGUAAUGAAAAGGCAUUUUUGGGUGCUGAUUAUAUGUGUGAAUACUGGGAUGCUACUCAUAGACAUACAGAAACCCACAACUCUUUUGCCAGGUUGCUAGCUUACCACUGUCAGUGGGCUGCCCCAGCUCUCACAGCCCCCGUGUAAAACCACUUGUCUGUCAGACUGUGUGAACUCUGUUUCAUCACAGCCCAAGUAGCACUGGCAAUUCUGGCAGCUGGACUGGAAACCAUGUGGCAAUCCUUUUAAGUGUGUCUCCCUUGGAACAGAAAAAUCCAAUGGCUUUCAUGGAGACAAUUAUUGGGAACGUGACUGGUAAACACCUAUAUUUUCUGUCAGAGAACCUGGCCCCAGAGAUAAACUUAUAUGCAUUCAUGAGAAAGUAGUAUUCGUUUGCUAAACUAUAUUUAUGUUGUAGACUUGAUUAAAGAAGAGCUUGUGUAAGUAAACACAAAAGACUGAAUAUGCAUUUAUCUGUUCCCUCCCAAAUCCCCACUGUAAUAACAGUAAAGAAAUAAAAGGACCAUAAACUCACAGGGUUAAAGAGAAGGGAAAAAUAUGACAGAAGUCAAAAUAUGUCAACACAAUUUUGGAAAAUGAAAGCAUAUGGGCUGUCUUAGUCUGUUUUGUAUUACUAUAACAGAAUACCCGUGACUGCGUGAUUUAUCAAAAGAAGAAAUUUAUUUGGCUUGUGGUUCUGGAGGCUGGGAAGUCCAAGAUUGAGGGGCCACCUCUGGUGAAGGCCUUCUCUUUUUUUGGCCUUGUCAUUCCUAUGGUGGAAGGCAGAAGGGCAGGAGAGUCUGUGGUUGCAUGUUUGUGUGUGGUUGGGGAGGGAGAGGAGGAGCCAAGAGAGGGCUGAACUCGUUGAUCUCAUUUUUUUUUUUUUUUUUUUUUUGAGACAGAGUCUCACCCUGUCACCCAGGCUGGAAUGCUGUGGUGCGAUAUCGGCUCACUGCAACCUCUGCCUCCCAGGCUCAAGCAAUUCUUGUGCCUCAGCCUCCUGAGUAGCUGGGAUUACAGGCGUGCACCAUCAUACCUGGCUAAUUUUGUACUUUUAGUAGAGACGAGGUUUUUCCAUGUUGGCCAGGCUGGUCUCAAACUCCUGAUCUCAGGUGAUCCUCCAUGACCUCGGCGUCCCAAAGUGCUGGGAUUACAGGCAUGAGCCACCACACCCAGCCCUGAACUCACUUUUAUAACAAAUCCACUCUUGAGAUAAUGAACCCACUCCCAUGAUAGUGACAUUAAUCUAUUCAUGAGGGCAGACCAUCAUGACCUAAUCAUCUUUUAAAUGUCUACCUUUCUCUCAAGAAUGUUCACCUUUUCUCCUUGAAGAAUGAUUAUAAUAACAGCUUUAAAGUCUUUGGUAAUCCCAACACUGGGGCUGGCAUCUGUUGAUUGUCUUUCCCCUUGAGAACUGAUAGAACUUAUCAGAUUUUCCUGGUUCUUUAUAUUCUGAAUAUUUUGUUCUGAGGCUCUGAGUUCUGUUAUAUCUUCUGGAUAUUGUUGAUUUUCUUUUUUUCUUUUCUUUUUCUUUCUUUUUUUUUUUUGUUUUCUGUUUUUUUUUUUCUUACACAGGGUCUAGCUCUGUUGUCAGAGCUAGAGAGCAGUGGCAAGAUCUUGGCUCACUGCAACCUCUGCCUCCUUGACUACAAAAGUUCUCCCUCCUCAGCCUCCUGAGUAGCUGGGACCACAUGUGCAAGCCACCAUGCCUGGCUAAUUUUUUUUAUUUUUUAUGUUUUGGUAGAGAUGGAGGUCUCACUUUGUUGCCCAAGCUGGUCUCUAACUCCUGGGCCUAAGCCAUCCACCCACCUCGGUGUCCCAAAAUGUUGGGAUUACAGGCGUGAGCCACAGUGAUGAGCUGGUUAAUGUUGAUUUUCGUUUGUUUCUUUGUUUUAACAGGCCACCCACCCAGCGAGAUUCAGACCACAAGUUCUGUCUCAUCUUCUAUGGAUUCCCACAUGAGUCAGUUCAGUUUUGGAAGACUUUGCUCUGCUGUUUGGAUGCAUGAGAAGAAGCACCCCCUUUUCUCCUGUUCUCCUUUGCUGGAUCAAGUCAUAUCUUCACAUAUUGUCUGGAAUUGCUACAGCUAUUUUGAAACCCAAAGUGAAAGCAUCAUCAACCUGCUGAGGAUAGCAAGGCAGAAAGACAAAUUCAUCGGUGGACCUGGAUCUGUGAUGACUUCAUCAAGGCUCUGAGCCAAUCGUGGACCACCUGGCCUCCAGACAUCAUCUUAUGUGAAAUGAUGGCUGUCCUUAUUGUGUAAGCUAUUUGGUUUGAGUAUGUUCUGCCUAGCAGCUAGAAGCGUCCAACUGAUGCCAAUGCUUCUGGUAAAAGUUGUGAUUAAAGCAGAUAACGGUGUUAGCUGACGUGCUGAUAAAAUCGGAAUCAGUACAUGGCCAAGUCAUGGAUCUGGUGGAAAGUAUUCAAAUAGAUCAAUGCAUGCUUGGUGAUGCUGGUGCCUGUCAUCAUAAACAUCCAUCCAGGCCAUCAUGAUCACCUCCGAAUGGUACAGGACUAAAGUCCAAUUCAGGAUCUACACACCCUGCUUAUAAUAAUGCCCUAACUUCCUUUGAAGAUGAAACGCAUUUCUCUGUGUUCUUUGAACUAUUGUACAGAAAAACUUCCCCAGGAAACUCUUUGAACUCAUAUUUGUUUGUUUCUCAUUAAACAAAACAAAAAAAAAAUUGGCCAGGUGCGGUUGUUCAUGCCUGUAAUCUCAGCACUUUGGGGAGCUGAGGCGGGCGGAUUGCUGAGCCCAGGAGUUCAAGGCCAGCCUGGGCAACAUGAUGAAACACUGUUUCUACUAAAAAAUACAAAAAUUAGCCGCGUGUGGUGGCAUGUGCCUGUAGUCCCAGGUACAGGAGGGAGGCUACAGGAGGCUGAGGUGAGAGGAUCACUUGAGCCCAGGAGCCAGAGGUUGCAGUGAGCCGCGAUCACACCACUGUACUCCAGCCUGUGCAACAGAGUGAGACUGUCUCAUAAAGAUAAAAAAUUUAAAAACUGGCCAGGUGUGGUGGCUCAUGUCUGUAAUCCUACCACUUUGGAAGGCUGAUGUGGGCAGAUCGCCUGAGGUCAGGAGUUUGAGACCAGCCUGGCCAACAUGGUGAACCCCUCUCUCUACUAAAAAUACAAAAAUUAGCCGGGCAUGGUGGUGCAUGCCUGUAGUC
rnacentral:lncRNA from 1 species